AAACUGAAGAGUUUGAUCCUGGCUCAGAUUGAACGCUGGCGGUAUGCUUAACACAUGCAAGUCGAACGGUAACAGCGAGAGCUUGCUCUCGGCUGACGAGUGGCGGACGGGUGAGUAACGCGUAGGAAUCUGCCUAGUAGUGGGGGACAACUCGGGGAAACUCGAGCUAAUACCGCAUACGCCCUACGGGGGAAAGCGGGGGAUCUUCGGACCUCGCGCUAUUAGAUGAGCCUGCGUUGGAUUAGCUUGUUGGUAGGGUAAUGGCCUACCAAGGCGACGAUCCAUAGCUGGUCUGAGAGGACGAUCAGCCACACUGGGACUGAGACACGGCCCAGACUCCUACGGGAGGCAGCAGUGGGGAAUAUUGGACAAUGGGGGCAACCCUGAUCCAGCAAUACCGCGUGUGUGAAGAAGGCCUGCGGGUUGUAAAGCACUUUCAAUUGUGAAGAAAAGCCUAGGGUUAAUAACCUUGGGUCUUGACGUUAACUUUAGAAGAAGCACCGGCUAACUCCGUGCCAGCAGCCGCGGUAAUACGGAGGGUGCAAGCGUUAAUCGGAAUUACUGGGCGUAAAGCGCGCGUAGGUGGUUAAGUAAGUCAGAUGUGAAAGCCCUGGGCUCAACCUGGGAACUGCAUUUGAAACUGCUUGGCUAGAGUAUGGUAGAGGGAAGCGGAAUUCCGGGUGUAGCGGUGAAAUGCGUAGAUAUCCGGAGGAACAUCAGUGGCGAAGGCGGCUUCCUGGACCAAUACUGACACUGAGGUGCGAAAGCGUGGGUAGCAAACAGGAUUAGAUACCCUGGUAGUCCACGCCGUAAACGAUGUCAACUAGCCGUUGGACUCAUUUAAGGGUUUAGUGGCGCAGCUAACGCGAUAAGUUGACCGCCUGGGGAGU
rnacentral:rRNA from 1 species